GUCCCGCCACCCUCUGCCCUUGAAAUGCUGGCAAGUACGCAGCCCCGCGAUCGUCACGUGACGCCAGGGUUCAGCGUAUCCUUGCUGGGCAACCGUCUUAGAGACCAGCACUGCUGGCUGCACCAUGAAUGUGAUCUACCCACUGGCAGUCCCCAAGGGGCGCAGACUCUGCUGUGAGGUGUGCGAAGCCCCAGCCGAGCGGGUGUGCGCGGCCUGCACAGUCACUUAUUACUGUGGGGUGGUACAUCAGAAAGCUGACUGGGACAGCAUCCAUGAGAAAAUAUGUCAGCUCUUGAUUCCACUGCGCACUUCCAUGCCCUUCUACAAUUCAGAGGAAGAACGGCAGCAUGGCCUGCAGCAGCUGCAGCAGCGGCAGAAGUAUUUGAUUGAAUUCUGCUACACCGUAGCCCAGAAAUACCUCUUUGAAGGGAAACACGAAGAUGCUGUACCAGCAGCUUUGCAGUCCCUUCGCUUCCGUGUGAACCUGUAUGGCCUGAGCUCCGUAGAGCUUGUGCCUGCUUACCUGCUGUUGGCCGAGGCCAGCCUUGGUCUGGGCCGAAUCGUUCAGGCUGAAGAAUAUCUAUUCCAAGCGCAGUGGACAGUCCUCAAAUCAACUGACUGUAGUAAUGCCACCCACUCUUUACUGCAUCGGAAUCUGGGACUUCUCUAUAUAGCUAAGAAAAACUAUGAAGAGGCCCGUUAUCAUCUGGCCAAUGAUAUUUAUUUUGCCAGUUGUGCAUUUGGAACAGAGGACAUUAGGACUUCAGGGGGCUACUUCCACCUGGCUAAUAUAUUCUAUGACCUUAAAAAGUUGGACCUGGCAGACACAUUGUACACCAAGGUCUCUGAGAUCUGGCAUGCAUAUUUGAACAAUCACUAUCAAGUCCUCUCACAGGCUCACAUCCAACAAAUGGAUUUACUGGGCAAACUAUUUGAGAAUGACACUGGCUUGGAUGAAGCCCAGGAAGCAGAAGCCAUUCGCAUCCUGACUUCAAUCUUGAACAUUCGAGAAUCUACAUCUGACAAAGCCCCCCAAAAAACCAUCUUUGUUCUGAAGAUCCUGGUCAUGCUUUACUACCUGAUGAUGAAUUCUUCAAAGGCACAGGAAUAUGGCAUGAGGGCCCUCAGUCUAGCCAAAGAACAACAGCUUGAUGUCCAUGAGCAAAGCACCAUUCAAGAGUUAUUAAGUCUCAUUUCAACUGAAGACCAUCCCAUUACUUAGUGACCCAUGAGCUCUGCAUCAAGGGUUAUUCCAGGGGCUACUGAAGAUCUAAUAUAUUCCAGCCUUGCACAACUGCUUUGAGUUCCUCUCCAGACUUGCCAAGCAGCAUUUUGCUUCGUGAGUAGAUCUGCACCCAGGGAGAAGAUACGCAGGUCAAGAACCUGUCAGAGAGUUUUAUGUUCCUCACUGUAAAUUAAUUCACUCAAACACAUAUAAUAAAAAUAAGUCAGAUGGGUCACCCUGCCCCUUCAGGUAAAAUCAGCUGGAAACCGCCCCCUACCCCCCGCUGUCACCCCCCCCCCCCACUUCCAUACUUGUGGGCAUUCUUAUGCUUCUCCAUGAUGGCCAUGAAGUCCCAGGGGCUUACUUGUCUUUCAGCCAUCUCUUGAUCUAAUUUUCAGCCUCAGAUGAAUUCUCAUUCUCCAGUCAACAUUGUGUAGCACUUCCUUCUUCUCUUUAAAGACAAAGCCCCUUCUUCUUAGCUCUUAACCCGUAACCCCAAAUAUGAGUCAGCUCUUUCAAAUAGACUCUUAAUGAAGACUGGAGGGGUAAGGAGGAGGAUCAACAACUCUUCAGCAGAUAAUUUCAAAGAAAAUAUUAGAACUUACCUAUUCUGAAAACAUUCUAAAAAGUCCAUUUUAUUAGACUCCUACUCUAUUCUUUAUUCCUUGGCCUCUUUUUGCCUUCUCACUCCUGUCUUAUCUAUUCUCCCUGAAUUCCUGUUCAUUAACCCUUCUGCAUUCAAUACAUUUAUAAAGUUAUUGUUUAAA